rnacentral:rRNA from 1 species
CCCUUAGAUGUUCUGGGCUGCACGCGCGCUACACUGAUACUUUCAGCGAGUCCACCACCUUGCCUGUGAGGGUAGGGUAACCUCUAGAAAGUGUAUCGUGAUGGGGAUCGAUUAUUGUAAUUAUUAAUCUUCAACGAGGAAUUCCUAGUAAGCAUGUGUCAUCAGCCCGUGCUGAUUACGUCCCUGCCCUUUGUACACACCGCCCGUCGCUCCUACCGAUUGGGUGAGCCGAUGAAACUCUCGGAUGUAGGCUAUUCAUAGCCCGCAGAAGAGAUUUGAAUCGUAGCGCUUAGAGGAAGGAGAAGUCGUAACA